rnacentral:tRNA from 1 species
UUUGACAUUCUUAUAAAAGAGUCUGUGUUUCGGCCGCAGAAUAUGAAAUUAGAAUAUUUCUGUCAAAU